GUUACUGAGUUGCAUUCGCUGCCUGUGGGACUCUCCGCUUUUGCGCGUAAGCUAGAGUAACCCUCAUCACAACGAUUCUUUGCUCUUUUGUUUGAACCUGUCCUGUUGAGUUUGUUAGUUUGCCCCGUAGUCAUCGUACCUUGCUGCACGCCUUUUGGAUCCCGCCUAGCCUAGCGUUUCCGUGCCUCUGCCUUGUCGGACCGCUACACCGCGUACGACCCAAUUUCCGGAAUAAACCGCAUUGAACAUGAUGCCUCUGCCUCGAAGUCCUGCAUUUGGGUCUGACCCCGCACCGGAGAUUCCGAUUCUGGUCCUGAUUAAAUGUGGAAAGAUGUUUUGAGCGGAGCAAGGGGAAUACGUUAUGGACCCGCCCGCCCGCCCGCCCGCAAUGGCUGAAAAUCAGCAAUCUGAAGGGACCGUAAAAAAAACACCUAAC